UACGUAGGUGGCGAGCGUUGUCCGGAUUUACUGGGCGUAAAGCGCGCGUAGGCGGGUUGGUAAGUCCGCUGUGAAAGCCCGGAGCUUAACUCCGGAGGGUCGGUGGAUACUGCCAGUCUUGAAGGUGCUAGGGGGAGAUGGAAUUACCGGUGUAGCGGUGAAAUGCGUAGAUAUCGGUAGGAACACCAGUGGCGAAGGCGGUCUCCUGGGGCAUUCUUGACGCUGAGGCGCGAAAGCUGGGGGAGCAAACGGG
rnacentral:rRNA from 1 species